CCUACGGGUGGCAGCAGUGAGGAAUAUUGGUCAAUGGACGAGAGUCUGAACCAGCCAAGUAGCGUGAAGGAUGACUGCCCUAUGGGUUGUAAACUUCUUUUAUAUGGGAAUAAAACAGGGUAUGCAUACCCUUUUGUAUGUACCAUAUGAAUAAGGAUCGGCUAACUCCGUGCCAGCAGCCGCGGUAAUACGGAGGAUCCGAGCGUUAUCCGGAUUUAUUGGGUUUAAAGGGAGCGUAGGUGGAUUGUUAAGUCAGUUGUGAAAGUUUGCGGCUCAACCGGAAAAUUGCAGUUGAAACUGGCAGUCUUGAGUACAGUAGAGGUGGGCGGAAUUCGUGGUGUAGCGGUGAAAUGCUUAGAUAUCACGAAGAACUCCGAUUGCGAAGGCAGCUCACUGGACUGCAACUGACACUGAUGCUCGAAAGUGUGGGGAUCAAACAGGAUUAGAUACCCGAGUAGUC
rnacentral:rRNA from 1 species